ensembl:lncRNA
UUUAACUUAAUACACAGUAUUUAUGUGUUCAUUUCAAUAUAACAUUUCCGUGGCAAGUUUUUCUAUUGUGUGUCAUUCAGUCAUGUUGGGACAAUUUGUUAAACAAUGUAGAGGCAUUUCAUCAUGGAACAACAUCUGAGGUGAUUUACAGUUAUCUUUAAACAGCACACCUGUAAAUUGCUAUAAAUAAUUCUAAUCCUUAUAAAGGAGACAUUAGGGUGCUUCCAGACAGAGGGAAUUAAUGGGGAAGCAGUUGUGGAUGAUCCUGUACAAUACACAGGCCUGCCCAGUCCACAGACAGGUCUGAAAGGAAGUUGUGGGAGGUCCUAUCAAGUUGUGGAAUGACAGAGUUUGGAAGGCAUUUAGCAACAGGUUGGUGUCCAGAGAUCAGUGACAAUCUAGGCUUAAGUACCUUUGAUUCUCUUGAGGCUGUAAUGGAAUUUUUACAGUAAGAUGUUUGCAACAAAGCUUAAUUUGAAAGAGCUUCUCAUUUUUACUCCUCAUCUGUAUCAUGUCUUCAUUCAGCAGCAAGGAUAAAAUGAAGGAAGGCUGUGAAGCAUUGGAAUUGUGGAGACAGAGGAGAGACUUUGAAUGAAGGUGAAGAAAGAAAACAAUGGGUCUAAGGAAAAGUGGGGGAGAAAGAGUAAAUGGGGAAAGGAUACAGUAGGGUCAAAAAGAUCAGAUUUACUGUAAUUUGUGUGUCAACCCAGGCCUUUUUAGGUGGGGGGUGAGAUUCUGACUUAGUUCUGCUAUGAAUAUCCACCUACCUGAAAAAAGAUUUAUUUCUUUUUAAUGAUGCAAUCCUGUAUGUGGAAAAUGGUGAAAAAAGAGGAUCAAGCUCCUAACCAAGGACUGGCCAUGGCAAACCAGACAAAACAUGUACAGUACUUACCCCAGAUGAGUGAUCACCAUGUAGGGAGGCAAAAAACCAGCUAUGAUGGCAGAACCACGUCAAACUACGAAACAAACCUUUUCAGCUCAUAGCGCAGUUAUGAACACUUGCCCUUCAGUGGUGUUAAAGAUCAUUUCCAGGUAGAAAUUCAAAAGGCCCCAGUACAGUGAUCAGAAAAGAUAUGGUGACCCAUAAUUUGGGGCUAUCACAUGCAGGCUUUUACUUCAGCUUGCAAUACCUGUGUAGACAUUGAAACCUUUGCUUCAGAAGUCAAGAGCUGACUUAUCCUUCUGUUACAGCAGAGUUGUCACAAUAAGGAGCUUUAGCAGACACCUGGAGUGGUCUUCAAAGGCUCAGAAAUCAGAGGAAAAAGUAGAAGAGCCUCCUCUUGUCUUCCUUGAACACAGCUCUGACCUACAUCUGAGAUUAGACUGAACCAAACUCACUCCAUUUUAGAGGUGCAAUAGCCUCUUCCUGGCUCAUGUAGUCAACACUAUAACAGGAUCAUGAGUCUGGGUUUGGUUCCACAGACUCUUUCAGCUGAUUAAGACCACUAUAUAUUUCCAGCACCUUUUUCCUUUGAAAAAAGAGUUAACUUCAGUCUCACAGUCCUGAAGAUAUUUCACUCUUGUCUGAUAUUAAGAAAUGUACAACAGGGACUGCAGAGAUGAAUCACAGCAUCUGAUGGGGAGAUUAAACCCAGCAGCUUUCAAGGGAAAGCACAUUGCCUCACUGAUGGAAACGCCCCAGCUCCCUACAGUGGGACGUGGGAUUCAGGAGAAACAGAGAGGGUGACUAAGGCAAGCAUACUUCUUGCAAAUAUAUUAGUUUAGUUUUUUUAAUCUUUUACUUUCCUCGCCUUUAUGGCUUCAUUUUUUAAAUUUACUUUGUAUAGACUAGGAAGUUUUGUGGCAUAGAUAGUUUCAUAAAGUUAUUUUCUAGGCAGGUUCCACAAUCCUGAAUUUUCUAGUCAGGAAGAAGGAGAUAAAAACCCUAGAAUAUGACUUAUAUGAGUGACCUAGGGAUACUGAUUAAACGUCACCUGCUCCAAGGUGGCCUGGUAUGUGUGUGUGGAAAUGUAGUUUCAAGCAGGUGCUCAUGUUUCUGCCAAAAGCAGUGCAGAGCCUAAAUGUGUCGGUGAUGUUGCCCUCCAAGAACAGAGGUUUGUAGAGGCAAAGUAAAAGCAAAGGCCUAAUUAAUCAAAAUAUUCUAAUAUCACAGGGCACCUCUGAGAAUAUCAAGUCUCAGCAGAUGUGAAAGCUCAUUGCAAUUCAGAAUGUAAAAGUUAAAGGGGUUUCUGUGAGAGAGAAGCAACCAGGAGGGGGAAAGCAGGUAAUCCUGAACUUCCCUUAUCCUAAAUAAAUUUUGGUUUAAUCUGUACUGCAAGCAGCUAUCAGUGCCAAGGAAUAUUUUUUCCUGGUACUUGUGUGGAAAGAGAGUGUCCAAUUUCCUCAGCCAAGUGACACUGAGGAGCUGGGAGGCAGACAGCCCUUAUGAAAGCAAACAGCAAAGAACAGCAGUGACCACUGGGCUUCAGGGAGGGCUCUUUGAAGAUGUUUUUAAAGGCAUUGCUAUGGUUAAGUCCAGAUUUAAGUCACUACAAUUGUAAACUGUGAACUUGUGGCCAGAUGGGACAAUGUUUUCUGAGAGUCCAGGAAGACCAGGAGCAGUGUUGCCAGGGAUAGAACAGCUCAGUGCAGGAGGCAGCAGCUUUUCAAAGCUGAUUUACCUCUGUGUAUGGAUAAGUAUGUCCCAAAUGAGGGGCUGGAUGUGCCAGUUACAAAAGCUGCCUCCCAGAGACAAGGGCUACUCUCAUCUGUCCAUCUGGUCCGUAGGAGAUCUCAAUCCUAGCUGGGUUUAGAGCUGAGUCGGAGUCAGGAGCUACUGCCACUCCCAGACACUCCUCUUAGGAUGCUCAAGUUCCCAGCCUCUGGCUCAUCCAUGGCUACAGAAAACCUACUGUGCACAGGUUUUCUGUCCCAUGUCUCUCAUGCUGCAGGAGACCAAGUUGCAGACUAUUUGAGACCAAGUUGCUGGGACUACUUGAGACUUGUCCCCCCCCAGCUCCUGGGGACUCCAGGCCUGAGGAGUCAAAAGAUGGCUCACACAUGGAGCUCUCUAACCCAUUAACAUGUUUAUCUUCAAAGACAGCACAUACAUUCCAUCUACUUGUAAGCAUUUGUGUGGCAAAUUAUGAAGGCAUUACGAAGUUAUGAUGUCAAACAAGACACAGGUUUGUUAAAAAAAAAAAAAAAAA